CUUUUAGAACGCAGAGCAUCGCGGGAUAGCGUCGUUUUACAUUUUUGUGAAAAAUUUUAUAAUAAUCAUAUUAAAUGGAAUUAAAGGCAAUUUAAAUGGCAAAUAUCGAUGGGAAAAGCAUCAGAAAGUCCUUAAAAUGUUGUUCAGAUACCACAGGUAAGAAUAAUUGUAUAUUUGACUUGUUAUUUAAUUAAACAUAUUCAUUGCGAAAUAAUGUAGUGAUUAUGAAUGUUUACUUGAGCGAAGUGUGGAAAUAUUCCAUUGAAUGUUUGAAUUUGCCGCGUUCGUUUUGCAUAUAAAACAUGCAAAUGUUGCUUUCAGGCAAGGGACGAAAGAUUAAAAUAUAAAUUCAAAUCUAUUGUUGUGAAUUCCGUACUAAUUUACGCACUAAUAUUAAAAAUUUGACAAUAUUAAAUUGCCUUUGACAUUGGCACUUUGCUAGACCUUUGUCAAGACUCAAGGCUAUAUAGUGAUAUGAAAUAAGAUAUUAUACAUACGAUGUUUUUGAAGAUCUGUUAGCAUUUUAAUACAGGUACUUGAAUAAGGAUUGGAAUUACAGGAGAAUGACAUCAUUUAAUCUGAUAUGUUCAGUGUAUAGAUAGCUGAAUAACUGAAUUGCAUCCUACUUCAUUGUUUAUACUCUGUCUAAUGCCAGAGGAUUUUCCUACUUGCCUUGCCGGAUAACUUGGCUACUGUGGAGAAUGUUUAGUUUUCCCGACUUACUAUACUUCACCCGGGAAACUCUGCAAUCCUAGAUAGAAUGUAUAUGCCUUUCAUUUAAAAUAAUAGCCCAAAAAUACAUUCAAAUCAUUAGGUAUGUUUAUAGCUUUCCUCUAUUUCUAGCAGCUUAUUCAAGAUUGCAUAUUUUGUAAUCAUGUUUUUUAAACCUUUUGAAUGAUCCAAAUUGUGUUUGUAUUUUGUCAUUGUGCAGCAAUCAUGUGAUAACUUGAUUUCAUAUAAAUAGACUGCUUUUUUGUCCUGCCUGAGUGAGUAACUCACCUUGCCGGGUAACUCGCCUACUGAUGUACCGAUAUCCAUAUUGGUGUAUCAGUCAUCUUUGAAUUUCGUGAAAUGACAUGGAAUAUCAGUAUCGGCAAAGUAUUGGUCUUUUAUUAUCAGUUAUCAGAAUAUCGGUGAAUUUCCAUAUAUCGGUGCAUCACUAAUACAGUUCAAGAUUGUGUUUAUAUGAGAAAAUGCCAUCCUGCUUGCCGGGCCAAUUUUGUUAUGUUGACAUUGUUUUGACAGUUGUUAAAAAUAGCUUGCAGCUUGGCAUCUUUGAACAUUCAUCCUGGCCCAGCCUGCUUGUGAGUGUAUAUGUGGAGAAAUUUUCAUCCCGAUAAGCAACAUUGUGGCAUCAGAGCCAGUCUGCUUGUGGAUCCAUAUAAACACAUGAUAAUUUUUUCUAAAUAAAUAUACUUAAUGCAGUAAGAUCUCGCUUACCGGGCUGUCCCGCUAAGCGGUCCAGCCCAGCUUCCAUAAAUACAGCUGGUAAGAACCAUGAACAGCAACCGGAAGUAAACUAUACUGUCAGUAGCUGUGUGAUAUGGUAUUGGACAAAUUAUUACAUUUCUUAAUUUAAUAUUGCAGCUUUGGUGCAUGACUAAAGGUUAAUAGUCUACUGGGCACUUGCCACAAGAAAAUGAUAACUGAAUCCAGGACAUCUCAUCUGCCUACAGCCAUGUUUCUGCUUAAUAAAAUUUAUAUAAAACAUAUGUAGUUUAAUACUCUACCAAUAUGAACAGGUGAUUGGCUGAUUAUAACAUUAACCCAUUGAGUUGCAUUGCACCCUGAUGCACCCUACUUUAGUAUUUUACUCUGUCUAACGCCAGACGAUUUUACUUGUCAAGAGGAGAGCGCUGGCGCUUAAUGGGUUAAACAAUAAACGCUUUGUAUUAGAUAAGAAUAUUAUAUUAUAAAUAAUAUUAAAUUAAUUAUAUUAAUGAAUUAUAUUAUAAAUGAAUUAUAUUAUAAAUAAUAAGUCAUAAAAUUAAUACUGAUCUAUCUUUUUAAUUUAACAUAGACAGAUUUUCAUAUUUUUACUGGGGCAGUGCCAGAAAUUUUAGGGGGGGGUGGGGGGGGGGUGAGCUGUGAGCAGGUGACUGAAGCAACACAAAGUGUCGCCAUACCCCAGUAAGGUAAUCUAUAUUCUAGAGGUGGAGCACUAGAGAUGUGAGGAGGAGUCUAGAGACCAGAAAACAAAGUAUCCCUGGAAAAAUUUUAAAAAAUCAUGAUUCCUAGCUUUGAAAAGAGUUUUUUGAAGUGGUCAUAUCAAUAGAUUUGGCAUGUCCGAUUAUCUGAUGAGACUUGGGAGAGUUAAUUAAAAGUUAAAUGAACCUGUAAAAGUGUAAACCUAAUAGGCCAAUACACAAUAUGCUUUUACCAGUUUUAUAAAGUCAUUGACAUUGUGUCGUUUGAAUCCGAAUACAUUUUAUGAUGCAACUCCGAUGUAAAUAAUAAUUGGGGCAUAAAGAUUAAAUCUAGGCAAGUCUAUUUUCUAAAAGAAUUAAAAACUAAAAAUAAUGUUCAUAAAAAAUCCAAAUGUUCCUUCCGAGCAAGCUAUUUGCAUGAGAAGGCACUGCAAACUCUAUUCAGGGGAGAUAAUAGUGUUUCAAAACUUUACAAUUGCUCCAAUAAACCAGUGAAUGCACUGUCUUUUUCUAUUUGAGUGUACUCCUACGUUUAUUUUAUAUCAUCAACACUGCAUGUUGGAGUGGACUAUUUAAUUAUUUUUUAUUACAAUCCGUCUAUGCUUUAUAAUCUAGUUAACUUAGGUAACUGAGGAGUGAUUCAGAUUAGCAAGCAAGUCUCCAGGUCUAUUGUUCUUGCAAUUUUGCAUAGAUACAGUAUAGCUAUUUCAAUUAAGGUUGUCCCCCAAGCAAAGCAGAAAAGUCGAAUACAAGCAGGAAAGUCUGCUGAAAAUCGCUAAUAAAUUCAUUUAUAUUUCUGUAUACACCACAUAUAAUACUUAGAGUGAUGAUUACAUUCUCAAUAUAUAAGUAAACUUUUCCUUUUACAGAUUACUAGCUGUAUAAGGAUGUAUAUAUGAUGGAUCUCCAGUGGCAUUUGCAUGAUGUGUUUGGAACAGUGUUUAAUGUGCAUUAUAAAGAAAUCUAUGGACUUUGAACAAACGGUUGGUCAGAUAAUAUUGCUUGUCAUGUGGAAAAAGUUGGAAAAUUACUGCAUCAGGUCUUCAGGAGAACUUAAAUUUGCUACAACACAUUGCUGUGAAAUCAGAACUACACCUAGUUGUAUAACAGUGGCUGAAAAAAGAACUUGUAUAAAUUGACUAUAAUUUGAUGUUUUGUAUGUUCCUCUGAGUGUAUAUCCACACCGGGCAGGCUGAAAAGUUAGCCUGACCAUUGUGAGAAUCGAACCCGCAAGUAGUCUAAUGCUCUGCUAACUGCAUAUACACUCAGAGUAUCAUCAAAAACAAUAUUCACCUGAGUAACUGUACAUAUAUAAACACCCAAACAACAC
rnacentral:lncRNA from 1 species